AAUUAAGUUCUCUCUUCCACUAAGCUUUAUAAGGCUCCAGGUUUUUUUAAAUAAUAUGGCCACAUAUUUUCCUCCUUGGGACGCCUGAGGUCUAUCUAGGGAAUUUUUCAAGACAUAGCAAAACUAAGGCCAUCAGGCAGCUGUCUAACAGGCAAGGAAAGGAUGAGCCAAGGAUGUGGCAUGCAGAAAAGAGAGGUCCAUAGAAAUCAUUAUCCUCCCAGGACUUCUGUACAUUUGCAAGUUACUUGACAACAAUUUAACAGAUGAAGUUAUGGGAAACACUGGGUCUACUAUCUGUGUAUCUUCUAGGGACCCACAAGACCUCCCACUCCUCUAUGAAACUGUCAGAACUCAUUCCACCACGGAUGCUGUACCAUAAAAGCUUCAACUGUUUCUUUGCUCUGAUUAUGUUAGCAGACAGAGACUCCUUUUUAUACCACAAUGUGGGUUCCACAAUAAAAGGAGGGUAGUGAUUCUACGGCCCAAUAUCCACCUGGCCAUGAUGUGGAGAAGGCAGGCUGAUAUAACAAGGUGUUGUCAUUAACAAAGAUAACAUUUUUGUUAACAAUAAAGAUAACACUUGAUGUUAUGAGUAGUUUAUCCACCUGAAAAUGUUGCCUUUCGAAACAGGUAUACACCUGGAUACUGUUGUGGAUUUUUAUGGAUACUGGUUUAUUUAUAGAUAACAUGUUGAUUUGUGGAAUUUCAUGGUUUUCUAUUCAUGUAUCAUUUUCAGAAUGGUUCUAUCCACACAUGCUGUUAGUUUACAUAUAGUAUUUGUGUCUAUUUCUAUAUGAGAUAUUAAAUGCACAAUUACUAUUU